CCUUUGAAGCUAUACAAAACAAAGGGCACACGUAUUCAAAUCGCUCUUCUAAAAUUCAUCUUUCUAACCAUUUUUUAAGUUCUUCUCUUCUCUCAUGGCAUGGGUGUACAAACAUGUAUAGGGACAUGCAAAAAAUAUCCUGAUUGCAAUGGUGUAUGCAAGAAACAAGGCUAUGUCAUAGGAUUUUGUGUCCCCAACAUUUCCUUGCCUGUUGGAAAUUACAAUUGAUGUUGUGCUAAAGAUUCUCAAGAAUAGCUUUGUAUUUC